UUUUAGUAAAUGAAACCCAGUUGCCAGUUAUAUAUGAAUCCAGUUUAUGGUCCUGAUUUUUUUUUCAGAGACGGAGUUAUUAUUUAGCUUUAUACUUUUAUAACGUAUGAGAAAAACGUGACGAGAAUUAUUGAGCCAUUCAAUAAUUUAUUAUCCAGUUUAAUAACUGACUUAGCAAAGUCAAGUUAUUAAUUUAUAUGCGAUAGAAAUAUUAUUUCUAUUAUUUACUUGGAAGUCGUGAUCUAAUUCCGAAUCAUAAGAACGAGUUAAAUUAGAUAUUUAAUUCGUAGAGAGCUAUAACGAAGCGUCGUUAUUUAGUAGAAACCAAUAUUAGUUUUACAAAUACUUGAUUAAUUAAUAUUAAUCAAGCUAGAUGAUUUUUUUAUUAGUAACUUCAAUACUUUACAAUCAUCAUUAUUCUUUCCACUCCCUAAUGUCUCCUACACUAUCAACAUACCAUAGCAUAAUUUAGACCUCAAGCAUGAAGCAUGUAUAUACGUUGACCACAUGAGUAACAUCAUAAGCCUCUUUCAUACAUAGCAUAAUCAAUCAAGAAGACAACCAAAUCAAUUAGCAAAAGCAAAAGCUCUUCAAUCACCAACUCCACUCCACCAACUCCACUCAAUUAUUCAUUCCCUUUAUACUAUCAGCCACCACCCUUUGCUCCCCACCCAACAAAUGCAAUCAGCCAACAAAUACAGUUUUCACUCUCAACUCAUCUCAUCCAAAAGAGAAUCAAAGAAUAGCCCAGCUCAUUCAGCCGAAGCUCACAAGGUAAGGCUGGGCUUCAAUGAUUUCAUUCCAUUUGAUUAGCACCUGCAUUAACACAAGAAUCAUUCAUUUCCUCUUUGCCAGGAACCUUAAGUUCAGUUACUCCAGUUCAACAAACAACAAUAUUUAACCAACAACACAUUUCAAGGUCAAGCGCGAGAGUAAGAACUACACAAGGAGUUAGAGCACCUUAGCAAAACUUUGCUAUCAGGUUGAGUUGUGAUGGGCGAUGAAGUGUUGCUGAGUGGAGUUUUUGUCGAACUUAAAGUAGGCUCAGAAAGGAUACAUGUCUUCAUACAUGUAUCUCAGUUAUGCAUUCCACUAUAAACACUGAUUAUUUCAGUUACGCCUUCCGUUGCAAACUCUGAUAAUGUUUUAGCCAAGCCCCCAACGAUGUUUUUUUUUUCCUUUUAAGGAAUAUAACGCGUAUACAAGUUCUUUGAGUACCCUUUUUAUGCGAACUAUGCCUUUUUCCUUUUUAAGGAAUA